rnacentral:rRNA from 1 species
CUCAGUUCGGACUGGAGUCUGCAACCCGACUCCACGAAGCUGGAUUCGCUAGUAAUCGCGCAUCAGCCACGGCGCGGUGAAUACGUUCCCGGGCCUUGUACACACCGCCCGUCAAGCCAUGGGAGCCGGGGGUACCUGAAGUGCGUAACCGCGAGGAUCGCCCUAGGGUAAAACUGGUGACUGGGGCUAAGUCGUAACAAGGUAAC